ensembl:lncRNA
UUUUUUUUUUUUUUCCUCUGGGUGGAGUUUGAGCCACUUGGGAGUUGAUCGUUGAACAAUGAUAUGAAUAGGAAGGGCAGAAUAACAUAAAGAGGACAGCAACAACCCUGAGGCUGGGAGACUUGUGUGGUUGCUGGUGUCAUAUGCUGAAGCAGAAAUUCGUUUGACAUUUUGGAAGGGGAAGGCAGUGCUGGUCAGUCCUGGCUGCUGUGCUGGGUAUGUGCUGAUUCAUUUGGCUCUGAGGAUAAUGCAUUUUGCAGCAGAGAGGAGGCUUGUGUCUGUGCAGUUUUCAGGAGGAAUUGUGCCAUCACACUCCACAAACAGUAAACAGUGCCAAGCUGUGAAAGGGCUUGUGUCAGUAAGUCUCACCUGUGAUGCUUCUGGCAGGCCAUCUAACCAGCACCCAGGGAAGGCUCACAGACUGGUGACGCACUGUCUCCUCACAUUUUGCAGUCUUUGCUGGUGAAAGUAGGCUAGAAAUCACUGGCUUGGCCCUUUAGAGGGACUUCUUGCCAGGACAGUGGGUUCCUGUAAGAUGAAACAGAAGUCAGGCAAAGAGUAAGAUAUUGAUAUUUCCCCAUGAGGUUAUUUAGGAUCUCAAAGGAAACCAUACCUGAAAACCAAAGAGUCCUCAGUCACAGACUCAGAGAGGAGGUGCAGUGCAUGUAAAGCUGUGAAAGUACCCCAGGAAACACAGGCCAUUCACAUGGGGUAUGUCCAGCUAUAGAGUAGUAGAGAUACUCAAACACACGAAAGGACAGUGUGGAUUUAGACAUUUUGGGGCUAGACUUGAGUCCUGGAUAUACUUCAGCUUUGGUUCAACUAACUCAGCUUUGUUAUUUUCUUAAAGUGAGUACAGUGCAGAGCUCUCUCCCAAAAGCUCUGGAAGCUGCUGGUCCAGUCCAGAAAGGGGGCUGCAUGUGUGAUGCUCCUCUCCUAUCAUUUUUACUGCACAGUAGCUUUUACCCAGGUUCCAGCAGCAUCCUGGUGGCACCAGUAAUAACAGUGGAAAAGCAUUUGGCCUCUUUUGGUUUGGACAGUCAUCUGUGAGGCACUAAGAGAACUACCUACAGUGAGCUAUUACAGCUGUUGGUCUCUGCUGACCUGGGCCAGAUUUGAUUGCUGAUCCCAAGAGGAGAGGUUUCACUCUAUCAUUCUUCUCCAGAGGUUUCUGCUCUUCCUGGAAAAAAAAAAUAUUCAAGGGCAUUUCUAAUAGACACAGGAAAAACAAGCAAACACAUCCCCAGGCUUUUACUUCUGUGCUGGUAUUGCAUUGCUUCCUGUGACCCUCUCUCCUCCCAGCAACGCCUAGAUUUCAGGUUGCAUAGGCUGGGUGGAAUAUAUUUUAGAACAAGACUCUAUUUAGCUGUGAUGUCAACUGCAGCCAACUAUAAAAAGCUCAGUAAUGCUCUUUGAAAGUGUAACAGCUGCUGCUCUACACAGUCCCUGGUGUAUUACAAGUCCGCCCUACUUCAUGUUCACACAACCAAAAUAAAAUACAAUAGCAAUCAUUAAAUAGUUCAAGGAAUUUGGGACAUAAUCUCCCCAUAAACCAGGAGGAAUUCAAGGUUAGAUAAAUUGAUUAAUUUUGCAGUUUUUUAACAGAAAGGUAAUUUUACCUGGAUUUGCAAAAUUGACUGACUUUUACCUCACAUUGACUAUGUGCUAUCAAUGCUCCCUACACAGUGAGAACAGAGCAGCAAACCUUCCUUUGGGCAGCUCUAAAACAAGGGUGUUGUUCACACACAAUUACAAACUGAGCUCUUGCCUGGGGUAAGUCCAUUAAUGUUACCCAACAUAUAAAACCCAUUUUCAUCCUUAACUGGAUUUGGCCAUAUGUAUUAAAAAAAAACACUGACCAGGCCAAAAUUUCCCAUAGAAGCAGGAAAGGAAAUUGUUGAAGGAAACUGGAUUUAUUAAUCUAGAGUGAACAGACAGAAGUGAAUGACUGUGGAAUUGUGCUAGCACUGCACACCCUCACAGUACUGGAGAAGUAGUUUUGGCUGGGUCUCUGUUAUGGUGGAUGUUGUAGUAAAGCUUUUUUGGUUUUUUUAUUUUUUUGGUUGGGUUUUUUUUUUUUUUUUGUUUUUUUGUUUUUUUUUUUCCUAAAAUCUGAGCUAUAAACAUUCAGGAGUGAUCAGGACAUUUCAUUCUGUGGACUUGCUUCUGUUGAGAACUUUGAAAAAUCUUCCAGGCAUAUGUCUUCUUCACUAGAAAAUGGGAAGGUUGAGCAACCUGCCCACAAUGAUGUGGAAGUCGGUGAGUGGCAGAGCAAAAAGAUGAGCCUGGCUGUGCUUUCCCCCUUCCCCAUAGCUGCUGGCCUGCCAUCUGGUGAGCUGGUAUUACCAGUGGCACAUCCAAUUCCAUUUCUGAAACCAGCUGAGACAGCUCAAACAAUAUGAAUCCAGGAAGCAACAGCUACAUAAAAAAGAAGGAAAGUUUCAGAAGAAAAUCCUGCUGGACUGACCCGUGGCUUGGCAGGGCUUGUAGGAGGGACCAGCCAGGCUGAGGGACAGCACCCUCCUGCCUGGCAGAGCCUCCAGCUCCUUUCUGCAUCCUUGUCAGGACUAAACAGUGCAAAGUGGCUGCAAUGUUGCAGGCAGGGUGGUUUGGUUUGUAGUGCAGAUAGGCCUUUGUAGUGUGGGUGGGGAGCAGCCUGUUCCAAGGGACGUGCCAACUCCUGUGACACGGGUUUGGCGCAGCCGUGAGCUCACCAGUCUGCGAGGAAAUGGUCGCUGCCAGACACGGCUGUUACCAGAGGUGACAGGACAGGCAAUGUGAGCAACAGUCUGGCAUCAGCCAAAGCUGCUGGGAUGGAAACAUGCACACCAUGGGAUGGGCUUGGCAUGUCUCUGAGCACUGGCUGCACCCAGCUCCCAAGCAGGGAUGUUUGAUCCAUGAGGAAAUCAGAGGCACCCAGAAAUGAAAGCAAGCAGUCCCCAGGCAUACAGCUUGGGAGGGAGCCGGGGAGCAGCCUUGGUGCCUAUCCUUCCCUAACUCUCUGAAGGCUCUUUGGAAACCCCCUCGGGCUCCCCCACCUUGCCAGGGCUCCUGGCUGUUCAGGGUAUGAGCAGGAAAAGGACCUGGCUGGGGAGGUGGUUUCUUCUACCCACAGAUACACAUGCAAACACACAGCGUAUGCUUGUUUAAAUAAAGUGACGUUGAAGAAAGGUGACUUGUGUCAACACAGAGACUAAUUUACAUGCUACACUGUGUAGCAAUAUGGUGUCAGGUAAGAGCUGGCACAUUUUUCAUGUCCAGCCAAGUACACAUAAUGAUAUCACAGGGGGAGAUGAAUUGCUGUGGAAUUAAAGGUUGUGUUUUCUUUAACAGCACCUAAGAAACAGGCUACUGGAAAUCCUUGAACAUUCAAUAAUCUCCUUGCCAGUGUCUCUAACAGUCUGCAGAUUUUUUUAAGAUUUUACUAUAUCCCUUGACAAAUAAGAGCUCAGUUCUUUAGAUAUUGAGCAGCCUCCUUUCUAAAUAGGGACAGCUGAAACUUUCUGCAAAGCUUUUCUCUACCUUUGUCUGAGGAUUUGUGACAACCAAGUGGCUUCCACACUUCUAGAAGUGAGGUAAAUUGUUGGCCAUGAGCCCAUUUGAUUAAAGAAGAGAAAAAUCAGUCCUGCAAUACUAGAUAGGUGCCAAGAUGAAGCUGUCUGUCUCUUACAAUAGCCAUGGAAACCUCAGGCUCCUGGUGUUCUGACUCUUUGGCUAUGAUCUUCCACGGUGACCAAUUGACUGAUUUAAUCCUUUCACUACUUCUUUGUAGUCUUGGAUCUUUGAGGUGUCAGAAGAAUCAUCAAACCAACUCCUGCAACAUAUUAGAAGGGAACAUCUUGUGCUGUAUCACUGGGGAAUAAAAAAAAAUACUUCCUUUCAAAACACAUGUUUUUCCCUCUAAUAUACUUUACAAGUUGAGGAAAAGAAGCUCUUUCAAAAAAUAAA